UUACUUCAGUAGUACAUGUACUAAACUUGGAAUGAAGCAGAGAUGAGCAUGUCUUCUGCACAAGGAUGAAUCCAUGAAGUGCAGAAGAGCUGA
rnacentral:snRNA from 1 species